GGCCUGGCUGUGCGGUCGGCCUAUUUGGUCAGUACUGCACGGUUGGGUCUUUCCUUCUGGAGAGCCAGCAUGCCCUUUACUGGGUGUGUUGGGGAUCCAGGACUUUUACUUUGAAAAAAUUAGAGUGUUUAAAGCAAGCGUACGCUUGAAUACAUUAGCAUGGAAUAAUGAAAUAGGGCU
rnacentral:rRNA from 1 species